rnacentral:rRNA from 1 species
AUUGAACGCUGGCGGCAUGCCUUACACAUGCAAGUCGAACGGUAACGGGUCCUUCGGGAUGCCGACGAGUGGCGAACGGGUGAGUAAUAUAUCGGAACGUGCCCAGUAGUGGGGGAUAACUGCUCGAAAGAGCAGCUAAUACCUCAUACGACCUGAGGGUGAAAGGGGGGGAUCGCAAGACCUCUCGCUAUUGGAGCGGCCGAUAUCAGAUUAGCUAGUUGGUGGGGUAAAGGCCUACCAAGGCAACGAUCUGUAGUUGGUCUGAGAGGACGACCAUCCAGACUGGGACUUGGUCACGGCCCAGACUCCUACGGGAGGAAGCAGUGGGGAAUUUUGGACAAUGGGCGCAAGCCUGAUCCAGCAAUGCCGCGUGCAGGAAGAGGGCCUUCGGGUUGUAAACUGCUUUUGUCAGGGAAGAAAUCUUCUGGGCUAAUACCCCGGGAGGAUGACGGUACCUGAAGAAUAAGCACCGGCUAACUACGUGCCAGCCGCCGCUGUAA